UACAGAGGUGGCAAGCGUUGUUCGGAAUUACUGGGCGUAAAGGGCGCGUAGGUGGCCUUCUUAGUCAGACGUGAAAUCCCCAGGCUUAACCUGGGAACUGCGUCUGAUACUGGAAGGCUCGAGUUCGGGAGAGGAAUGUGGAACUCCAGGUGUAGCGGUGAAAUGCGUAGAUAUCUGGAGGAACACCGGUGGCGAAGGCGGCAUUCUGGACCGAAACUGACGCUGAGGCGCGAAAGCCAGGGGAGCAAACAGG
rnacentral:rRNA from 1 species